rnacentral:lncRNA from 1 species
GUUUUUAUUUUAUUUAUUAUUAUUAAUUUUUUAUGAGAUGGAGUUUUGCUCUUGUUGCCCAGGCUGGAGUGCAAUGGCAUGAUCUUGGCUUACUGCAACCUCCCCCUCCCAGGUUCAAGCGAUUCUCCUGCCUCAGUUUCUCUAGUAGCUGGGAUUACAGGCAGAUGCCAUGAUGCCCAGCUAAUUUUUGUAUUUUUAGUAGAGACGGGGUUUCACUAUUUUGGUCAGGCUGGUUUCGAACUCCUGACCUCAGGUGAUCUGCCCACCUCGGCCUCCCAAAGUGCUGGGAUUACAGCAUGAGCCACUGUG